rnacentral:rRNA from 1 species
UACGUAGGGUGCGAGCGUUGUCCGGAAUUAUUGGGCGUAAAGAGCUUGUAGGCGGUUUGUCGCGUCUGCUGUGAAAAUCCGGGGCUCAACCCCGGACUUGCAGUGGGUACGGGCAGACUAGAGUGUGGUAGGGGAGACUGGAAUUCCUGGUGUAGCGGUGGAAUGCGCAGAUAUCAGGAGGAACACCGAUGGCGAAGGCAGGUCUCUGGGCCACUACUGACGCUGAGAAGCGAAAAGC